GCCUGGGUCCCUAAUCCAAAAUGGCGCCGUUUUACUUCUUUAUUUAAGUCAGAUUUUUUUCUCAAAACUUCAUUUUUUUUCUUCUUUCUCAAAAAAAAACCAUCAAAACUCUCUCAAUCCCUCUCCUUUUCUCCGGCCAAUUGGGCGCCAUCCGUCCGUCAUGGCCGCCGGCGGACGAUGGCGGUGACCACCGUGUACGGCGGCCGGGGUUAAAAAAGAGGUCAUUUCAACCGUUUUGACCUCCCUAAGCCCAUUUUGAAGCCGAAACUUCCAAUAACCAAACGAGGACACACAGACAAAUGAAGGACUUCUCGACUUCGGGCCACCAUUCAUCGGAGGUGGCUACCUCGGACAUCCUGACGGUGGAGCGCAACCCUCAGGAGAUUGCAGAGGCUGGUGAUGGCGGCAAAGGAGGGUCAGACGCGUGGAGGGGAGCGGCUGCGGCAACAAGGUCAGAAGACCUAGGUGCGGCGCACCUAGGGUUAGGGGGAUUAGGGUUUUCUGAUAAUUCUUAAGUUUUUGGGCUUAUCGGGCCUUUAGGUUUAUUUUUUAUUGGGCAUUUGGGCUUGUAAUUUUUUGGACUAUGGACUGUUUAAUUUUUUUGGGGGUUUUAUUUAUUUAGUUUUGGGCCCGGGCAAAAAUGGGCUUGUACAUUAAUAAUAUAUAAAUCUUAAAUAAAUAUUUAAAUCACAUAUUCUUCCA